ACGUAGGACGCAAGCGUUAUCCGGAGUUACUGGGCGUAAAGCGCGGGCAGGCGGUCGUUCAAGUCUGAUGUGAAAGCGCAUGGCUCAACCAAGCGAUGCCAUUGGAAACUAGACGACUGGAGUCUGGCAGAGGUAGGCGGAAUUCCGGGUGGAGUGGUGAAAUGCGUAGAUAUCGGGAGGAACAUCAGUGGCGAAGGCGGCCCUCUGGUCCAGUACUGACACUCAAGUGCGAAAGCGUGGGGAGCAAACAGGA
rnacentral:rRNA from 1 species